rnacentral:tRNA from 1 species
GUGGCUAUAGCUCAGCUGGUUAGAGCAUCGGUUUGUGGUACCGAGGGUCGUGGGUUCAAGUCCCAUUAGCCACC